rnacentral:rRNA from 1 species
GAUGAACGCUGGCGGCGUGCCUAAUACAUGCAAGUCGAGCGAACAGACGAGGAGCUUGCUCCUCUGACGUUAGCGGCGGACGGGUGAGUAACACGUGGAUAACCUACCUAUAAGACUGGGAUAACUUCGGGAAACCGGAGCUAAUACCGGAUAAUAUAUUGAACCGCAUGGUUCAAUAGUGAAAGACGGUUUUGCUGUCACUUAUAGAUGGAUCCGCGCCGCAUUAGCUAGUUGGUAAGGUAACGGCUUACCAAGGCGACGAUGCGUAGCCGACCUGAGAGGGUGAUCGGCCACACUGGAACUGAGACACGGUCCAGACUCCUACGGGAGGCAGCAGUAGGGAAUCUUCCGCAAUGGGCGAAAGCCUGACGGAGCAACGCCGCGUGAGUGAUGAAGGUCUUCGGAUCGUAAAACUCUGUUAGUAGGGAAGAACAAAUGUGUAAUUAACUAUGCACGUCUUGACGGUACCUAAUCAGAAAGCCACGGCUAACUACGUG